rnacentral:rRNA from 1 species
CUAGCAUACGAGGAGGCAAUGGUGGGAUACUACCCUGGCUGUAUGACCAUUCUAACCCGCCACGCUUAGCGCGUGGGGAGACAGUGUCAGGUGGGCAGUUUGACUGGGGCGGUCGCCUCCUAAAGAGGAACGGAGGCGCCCAAAGGUUCCCUCAGAAUGGAUGGAAAUCAUUCGCAGAGGGUAAAGGCACAAGGGAGCUUGACUGCGAGACUGACAAGCCGAGCAGGGACGAAAGUCGGGCUUAGUGAUCCGGUG